rnacentral:rRNA from 1 species
AGAGUUUGAUCCUGGCUCAGGAUGAACGCUGGCGGCGUGCCUAACACAUGCAAGUCGAGCGAUUUACUUCGGUAAAGAGCGGCGGACGGGUGAGUAACGCGUGGGUAACCUGCCCUGUACACACGGAUAACAUACCGAAAGGUAUGCUAAUACAAGAUAAAAUACUUUUAUCGCAUGGUAGAAGUAUCAAAGCUUUUGCGGUACAGGAUGGACCCGCGUCUGAUUAGCUAGUUGGUAAGGUAACGGCUUACCAAGGCGACGAUCAGUAGCCGACCUGAGAGGGUGAUCGGCCACAUUGGAACUGAGACACGGUCCAAACUCCUACGGGAGGCAGAAGUGGGGAAUAUUGCACAAUGGGCGAAAGCCUGAUGCAGCAACGCCGCGUGAGCGAUGAAGGCCUUCGGGUCGUAAAGCUCUGUCCUCAAGGAAGAUAAUGACGGUACUUGAGGAGGAAGCCCCGGCUAACUACGUGCCAGCAGCCGCGGUAAUACGUAGGGGGCUAGCGUUAUCCGGAAUUACUGGGCGUAAAGGGUGCGUAGGUGGUUUCUUAAGUCAGAGGUGAAAGGCUACGGCUCAACCGUAGUAAGCCUUUGAAACUGGGGAACUUGAGUGCAGGAGAGGAGAGUGGAAUUCCUAGUGUAGCGGUGAAAUGCGUAGAUAUCAGGAGGAACACCAGUUGCGAAGGCGGCUCUCUGGACUGUAACUGACACUGAGGCACGAAAGCGUGGGGAGCAAACAGGAUUAGAUACCCUGGUAGUCCACGCCGUAAACGAUGGAUACUAGGUGUGCGGGGACUGACCCCCUGCGUGCCGCAGCUAACGCAAUAAGUAUCCCACCUGGGGAGUACGAUCGCAAGGUUGAAACUCAAAGGAAUUGACGGGGGCCCGCACAAGCGGUGGAUUAUGUGGUUUAAUUCGAUGCAACGCGAAGAACCUUACCAGGGCUUGACAUCCUACUAACGAGGUAGAGAUACGUUAGGUGCCCUUCGGGGAAAGUAGAGACAGGUGGUGCAUGGUUGUCGUCAGCUCGUGUCGUGAGAUGUUGGGUUAAGUCCCGCAACGAGCGCAACCCUUAUUGUUAGUUGCUACGCAAGAGCACUCUAGCGAGACUGCCGUUGACAAAACGGAGGAAGGUGGGGACGACGUCAAAUCAUCAUGCCCCUUAUGUCCUGGGCUACACACGUAAUACAAUGGCGGUAAACAGAGGGAUGCAAAACCGUGAGGUGGAGCGAACCCCUAAAAGCCGUCCCAGUUCAGAUCGCAGUCUGCAACCCGACUGCGUGAAGUCGGAAUCGCUAGUAAUCGCGGAUCAGCAUGCCGCGGUGAAUACGUUCCCGGGCCUUGCACUCACCGCCCGUCA